UACGAAGGGGGCUAGCGUUGUUCGGAAUUACUGGGCGUAAAGGGCGCGUAGGCGGCCUGCUAAGUCGAACGUGAAAUCCCUGGGCUCAACCCAGGAACUGCGUCCGAUACUGGCAGGCUUGAAUCCGGGAGAGGGAUGCGGAAUUCCAGGUGUAGCGGUGAAAUGCGUAGAUAUCUGGAGGAAUACCGGUGGCGAAGGCGGCAUCCUGGACCGGCAUUGACGGCUGAGGAGCGAAAGCCAGGGGAGCCAAA
rnacentral:rRNA from 1 species